CAGGAUCAGCGCUGUCAAGGUAUGCCAGCAAACCUGGUGGCUAAAAGCAUUUAAAACCAGCGUAAAUACGCAUGCGGCUAAUGGAACAGAAACCAUCACAUUAGUGAAAUGCCACCAUCUUCAACAGAACCAUUCAAUAGAUGCACAUUAUCGCCUUCAGUAAAGCAGAGCUCCUGCCUAUAGCCAUUUCUUAAAGGAGUACUUAAUGAAGCUAAGGACUUCAGGAAGAAGAGUUGAUCCCACAGGAGUAUUGAGAUGUGUUGUGGUUUAUAGCAAAACCAAAGAACAAGUUUCUACCCAGCCUGCCUGCAGUGAGCAAAGGACAAGACAGCCCCCUUUUCCAGUACUGAUUUUGAUGGGGCAGAAUUUUGUGACAGCUUUCUAGAGAAAGGACUUGACUGAUAGAGGAUCACAGAAGCAUUUGCAAAGGGAUAGGAAGGGGGGGUGUAAGUGUACAAAUCCCACCUGAAGCCAAUGCAGUAAGAUGCCUUUGAAAACCUCUCUCCUGAAUCUCAACACUGUUACUCCUAAUCUGU